AGGGGUGUAGCUCAGCUGGUAGAGCACCGGUCUCCAAAACCGGUGGUCGGGGGUUCGAAUCCCUCCGCCCCUGCCA
rnacentral:tRNA from 3 species